rnacentral:rRNA from 1 species
AACAUGUGAAUAUAUGGCAGCAAACUACCGUUGCCGUGCACCUGGCCGCCUGUCGCGUGAAAUACUCAUCGAGCGAUCACGAUAUAGGCGGACAGGAGAUCAAAUGGGCGCAGCUCUGUGCCAAGGAAAACAUGCAGCAUGAGCGUCGACGGCAUAUCCCAGAGCGCAUGCGUUUUGGUGGAUGCCGCCAGUUUGCUCCUCAAGAGUAGUAGGACUCUCGGCAAUGGAUAUCUUGGUUCUCGCAUCGAUGAAGAGCGCAGCGAAAUGCGAUACGUGGUGCGAAUUGCAGAAUCCCGUGAACCAUCGAGUUUUUGAACGCAAGUUGCGCCCGAGGCCACCUGGCCGAGGGCACGUCCGCCUGGGCGUCAAGCAUUAGCAUCGCUCCAUUUGACACCCGCCAUCAAUGCAAUGUGACGGCGGCGUCGAGGAUGCGGAAAUGGCCCGUCGUGCGAUGUUGUGCGGCGGGCUGAAGAGGGGGAUGAUUUCUCUCGGCGAUGAUCGAUAAAUGGGUGGGAUGGAAGCCCCAAUUGAUCCUCAUCGUCGUAUGGUUGCCUUGAGAAAGCUUAGAAAUCCCGGGCUGACCCGAGUCAAGUGUUGCUGGAAGCAAAAUUGAAAUGCGACCCCAGGAUGGGCGGGGUGACCCGCUGAGUUUAAGCAUAUCAAUAA